rnacentral:rRNA from 1 species
CCUACGGGAGGCAGCAGUGAGGAAUAUUGGUCAAUGGACGAGAGUCUGAACCAGCCAAGUAGCGUGAAGGAUGACUGCCCUAUGGGUUGUAAACUUCUUUUAUAUGGGAAUAAAACGUUCCACGUGUGGGAUUUUGUAUGUACCAUAUGAAUAAGGAUCGGCUAACUCCGUGCCAGCAGCCGCGGUAAUACGGAGGAUCCGAGCGUUAUCCGGAUUUAUUGGGUUUAAAUGGAGCGUAGGUGGAUUGUUAAGUCAGUUGUGAAAGUUUGCGGCUCAACCGUAAAAUUGCAGUUGAAACUGGCAGUCUUGAUUACAGUAGAGGUGGGCGGAAUUCGUGGUGUAGCGGUGAAAUGCUUAGAUAUCACGAAGAACUCCGAUUGCGAAGGCAGUUCACUGGACUGCAACUGACACUGAGGCUCGAAAGUGUGGGUAUCAAACAGGAUUAGAUACCCCAGUAGUC